ACUCCUACGGGAGGCAGCAGUGGGGAAUAUUGCACAAUGGGGGAAACCCUGAUGCAGCCAUGCCGCGUGUGUGAAGAAGGCCUUCGGGUUGUAAAGCACUUUCAGUAGGGAGGAAGGUAGUGUAGUUAACACCUGCAUUAUUUGACGUUACCUACAGAAGAAGCACCGGCUAACUCCGUGCCAGCAGCCGCGGUAAUACGGAGGUGCGAGCGUUAAUCGGAAUUACUGGGCGUAAAGCGCAUGCAGGCGGCCUGUUAAGUCAGAUGUGAAAGCCCGGGGCUUAACCUCGGAAUUGCAUUUGAAACUGGCAGGCUAGAGUCUUGUAGAGGGGUUAGAAUUUCAGGUGUAGCGGUGAAAUGCGUAGAGAUCUGAAGGAAUACCAGUGGCGAAGCGGCCCCUGGACAAAGACUGACGCUCAGAUGCGAAAGCGUGGGAGCAAACAGGAUUAGAUACCCCGUGGUAGACUGUCA
rnacentral:rRNA from 1 species